GCCGGGCACGGUGGGGCGUGUCUGUAGUCCCAGCUACUCCGGAGGCUGAGGCUGGAGGAACUCCUGAGUCCAGGAGCUCUGGGCUAUAGUGCGCUAUGCCAAUCGGGUGUCCGCACUAAGUUUGGCAUCAAUAUGGUGACCUCCUGGGAGUGGGGGACCACCAGGUUGCCUAAGAAGGAGUGAACCGGCCCAGGUCAGAAAAGGAGCAGGUCAAAACUCCCAUGCAGAUCAGUAGUGGGAUCGCGCUGGUAAAUAGCCGCUGCACUCCAGCCUGGGCAACAUUUAGAGACCUUGUCUCU
rnacentral:SRP_RNA from 1 species